UAGCGAAAAUGCUUGUGUUCCUAGCUCCAACAGGGCAGUAGUAUCUAACUAAAUGCUUGUGUUCCUAGCUCCAACAGGGCAGUAGUAUCUAACUAAAUGCUUGUGUUCCUAGCUGCAACAGGGCAGUAGUAUCUAACUAAAUGCUUGUGUUCCUAGCUCCAACAGUGCAGUAAUAUCUAACUAAAUGCUUGUGUUCCUAGCUCCAACAGGGCAGUAGUAUCUAACUAAAUGCUUGUGUUCCUAGCUCCAACAGGUGCAGUAAUAUCUAACUAAAUGCUUGUGUUCCUAGCUCCAACAGGUGCAGUAGUAUCUAACUAAAUGCUUGUGUUCCUAGCUCCAACAGGGCAGUAGUAUCUAACUAAAUGCUUGUGUUCCUAGCUCCAACAGUGCAGUAGUAUCUAACUAAAUGCUUGUGUUCCUAGCUCCAACAGGGCAGUAGUAUCUAACUAAAUGCUUGUGUUCCUAGCUCCAACAGUGCAGUAGUAUCUAACUAAAUGCUUGUGUUCCUAGCUCCAACAGGUGCAGUAGUAUCUAACUAAAUGCUUGUGUUCCUAGCUCCAACAGGUGCAGUAGUAUCUAACUAAAUGCUUGUGUUCCUAGCUCCAACAGGUGCAGUAGUAUCUAACUAAAUGCUUGUGUUCCUAGCUCCAACAGGUGCAGUAGUAUCUAACUAAAUGCUUGUGUUCCUAGCUCCAACAGGUGCAGUAGUAUCUAACUAAAUGCUUGUGUUCCUAGCUCCAACAGGUGCAGUAGUAUCUAACUAAAUGCUUGUGUUCCUAGCUCCAACAGUGCAGUAGUAUCUAACUAAAUGCUUGUGUUCCUAGCUCCAACAGGGCAGUAGUAUCUAACUAAAUGCUUGUGUUCCUAGCUCCAACAGUGCAGUAGUAUCUAACUAAAUGCUUGUGUUCCUAGCUCCAACAGGGCAGUAGUAUCUAACUAAAUGCUUGUGUUCCUAGCUCCAACAGGUGCAGUAAUAUCUAACUAAAUGCUUGUGUUCCUAGCUCCAACAGGUGUAGUAGUA